CAGAGAUGGCCGGGGUGCCCGAACGGAUCGGGCUGAGAUCACACCCGCCGAACCUGAUCCGGAUCAUGCCGGCGAAAGGGAGCCAGAGCGAUGUCUGC
rnacentral:ncRNA from 1 species